rnacentral:rRNA from 1 species
UACGUAGGGACCAAGCGUUGUCCGGAAUCAUUGGGCGUAAAGAGCGUGUAGGCGGCUUGUUAAGUCUUGCGUGAAAUCUCGGGGCUCAACCCCGAGCGGUCGUGAGAAACUGGCAGGCUAGAGUGCGGGAGAGGAGAGUGGAAUUCCUGGUGUAGCGGUGAAAUGCGCAGAUAUCAGGAAGAACACCCGUGGCGAAGGCGGCUCUCUGGAACGCAACUGACGCUGAGACGCGAAACGUGGGGAGCAAACAGG